rnacentral:rRNA from 1 species
CCGGAGCUAACGCGUUAAGUCGACGCCUGGGGAGUACGGCCGCAAGGUUAAACAUCAAUGAAUUCGACGGGGCCGCACAAGCGGUGGAGCAUGUGGUUUAAUUCGAUGCAACGCGAAGAACCUUACCUGGUCUUGACAUCCACGGAAGUUUUCAGAGAUGAGAAUGUGCCUUCGGGAACCGUGAGACAGGUGCUGCAUGGCUGUCGUCAGCUCGUGUUGUGAAAUGUUGGGUUAAGUCCCGCAACGAGCGCAACCCUUAUCCUUUGUUGCCAGCGGUCCGGCCGGGAACUCAAAGGAGACUGCCAGUGAUAAACUGGAGGAAGGUGGGGAUGACGUCAAGUCAUCAUGGCCCUUACGACCAGGGCUACACACGUGCUACAAUGGCGCAUACAAAGAGAAGCGACCUCGCGAGAGCAAGCGGACCUCAUAAAGUGCGUCGUAGUCCGGAUUGGAGUCUGCAACUCGACUCCAUGAAGUCGGAAUCGCUAGUAAUCGUGGAUCAGAAUGCCACGGUGAAUACGUUCCCGGGCCUUGUACACACCGCCCGUCACACCAUGGGAGUGGGUUGCAAAAGAAGUAGGUAGCUUAACCUUCGGGAGGGCGCUUACCACUUUGUGAUUCAUGACUGGGGUGAAGUCGUAACAAGGUAACCGUAGGGGAACCUGCGGUUGGAUCACCUCCUUA